rnacentral:rRNA from 1 species
UGAGGAACAUGACCUUCGGCGGGGGAUAGCCGGCCCAACGGCCGGGUAAUACCGCGUACGACCACUUUGGGACAUCCCUCGGUGGUGAAAGCAGCAAUGCGCCGAUGGAGUGCCUCGCGGCCUAUCAGCUAGUUGGUGAGGUAACGGCUCACCAAGGCGACGACGGGUANCUGGUCUGAGAGGAUGGCCAGCCACAUUGGGACUGAGACACGGCCCAGACCUCCGUACGGGGAGCCAG